AGCUAGUGCAGCACACAAAUGUGACAAAACCAGAGGGAAUUCCUCAGGAAGAAGGAAAUCUAUCCCAUAUUGAAAGCUGAAAUGCAAGAAAGGAUGAGGGGCAACAGAAAGAAUAUAGAUGCUUUCAAAAACAGAAAAGAUAAUAUUCUCAAGCAACUCCUAGAGAACACCAUCAUCCCUAUUAACACUUCCCCACUGUACCGUAAAAUACUUGUUUUCUUAACUAUAUCUCCCACUGGGCUCCUGGAGGACGUGAUCAUCAUUGUUCCCCAAGUGCCUCUCAUAUAUUUGGUGGUCUAUAAAUAUGAAAUAACAAAUGAAUGAUGGUGCUAUGAAUUCAACCACACCCACACUUCUUUUCACCAUCUGAGAGAAACAGAAGGAUCCAAAUCUUGGUAAUCUAAAUGCAUGCCUCCAAUACAAAGAUCUUUAAUAAUCACCAGGCCUGAACCACUUCUUAGCAAUUGGCCAGGCUGCAAGGAGCCGUAUCAACUCCUUACUAGGACAGCUUAAGCCCCUGAAGAAAUUAUCUCAUGCACUAAGGAAUGACCUGACAUAAAAGCCUACUUGAAAAUAAGCUGAUGCCUGCCCAGAGGGAAUAAUUUAAAAUAACUUUCAAGAGGUGGGAGAAUCAUAUACUCAUUCCAUAUUCAUCAGGUGUCUUCUACGUGCCCAAGAAUCAAUCCAAUCCAACUGAUAACAUUUUCUCUGAAGAUAGCUGCCUCUUCAAAUACUGGUACAGAGAUUCAAGAAGCUGUACCACAGACCAUCAGUUCUGCUAGUACAUGUAUUUCUUUGACAGGAAUGACCUCAGGUGUGAUUCGUAAAUAGAGGAAUGACGUCUGUGUGGGUUCAUAUGCAGUUUUUCCUAGCUUGUUUAUACUUUGCAGCAAUCAAGGUAAGCACUCUCACAGGGAAAGAGAAAGACUUAACAAUGUGUGAAGACCUCAGAACAAAGCUGGAAAUGCACUCAAGUGCCUUUCUUUAACAUGAAUAGUGGCUGAUUUUCUAGCUUCAAGAACCACUAUGCUUUCCACUAUGUUGACCUCAUGGCAAAACUGCAAGAACAGCUAUGAAAACAUUUCUCCUUAUACAGAUAAACGAAGAAGGCUACACCCUGGAUCAGACUUAAUUUCAAUAAAAUCGUCUCUCUUAGAAGCAAAUGCCCUGUGCAAUCCACAGAGACAAGAGGGAAGCAAAGCUCAAUGUGGACACGGCAAAGGCUAGACCAACUUGCAAAAAAAGUUCCACAGCUCUUUAGCGGUCUGCCUCAAUCCUGUUUUUCCCAUAAACUCUGUUAUUCUUAGUGGUGCGUGAUUUUGCAGAAUGCCAGGUGCAGAUAGAGUCAGCCCUCCAUAUCCAUGGGUUCCACAUCUGUGGAUUCAACCAACCACAAACCGAAAAGAUCCAAAAAAAAAUGGAUAGUUGUGGACACUUCCCUACAGAGAGAGAACUGAGCCACCCCUACACACGGUUUUACCACCACCAAGAGGCCAUGAGCUUGGGAAAGAAAAAGACAAUAGAGGGUAACACUCAACAGAAGGACAACGAAGGUCACACAAGGGUACUUUAUAUACUUAAACCAGUCUUCUGCUCACUGAUUCAGUCAACAAGUAAUUGAACGUACAAGCAGGUAGAAACCCAGAGAGAGACAAGAAAACUGAGAGCCUAUCCCACUGAUUAUUUCUUCCUGACACCCAAACAUCUUAGCAAAAGAUUGACUAGAAUCAGGUUGCAAACUCUAAAGUCUACUGGAGCCCAGUGAAUGAUUUAAGAAGAAUGGGUGCCUGGUAAUAGGGAGCAAGGGGACAGGGACAAGCUAGAGAUCAUAUGCUCCAUCUAAAAGUGUUCAAAUCGUUUUUCUUAUCUACCAUUGAGCCAAGUCAAAAUGCGUAUGCAGCCUAGACCUGGCUCACAGGCUGCCACUCCAUGGCCCCUAUGUUUAGCCGAAUAUAGACCAGGGCAUCUGGCUAAGAAAUUUCACUUUCGAUCCAGACAGAUACCUGACUCUAAGACAUAACCCAAAAUUUAAAAUCACCUUCCUAUAAGUGAUGGCUACAAUGCACCAGAAGAUGAUGAGAACUCCACUACAGGAGAAACAAACCAGAACUAUCUAUCAAGAUCCAAGAUUUUGGAACCUGAGCUUGAUUUCUUAUUUCUUCACUAUGAUUGAAGAGUGCUAUUACAUAAACAAAGUUUUCGUUUUCUGGUGUCUUUAAAAAUCAGCACCUAUUCCUAACAACUGCUUUAUGGAGGUUCACUCUUUACAACUUAAUUGUCUGAAAUGCCAAAGAAAAGAUGAAGAAUCUCUACAAUCCAAAUCACACUUCACCAUAAAGGCUCAAAGAUAAUGUCAGCAGACACACAGGUGAAAUAUAUCAAUUACAAACGUAAGAACUCUUGGCCCACUAAAAACGUGGUUUCUUGAGUAGAGAUUGCGAGAAGCCAUUUUAUGUACACUUUAGUAUAAUAUUUAAUGAAAGUAAUAAACAGGUCUCAUAAUUUAGAAUGAAAUCUGUUUUCUUUUUUUCCUUUCAAGGCCAGUCAACAUACACUGGAUAUUCCAAUAUUUUUCUUAAAUCAAUAUGCUACUUUUUACCCACAUAACAACUUUACAGUCAGAAAUAUAUAUGCUAAUGUACACUUAGCACUUCUUAAUUGUUCUUAAAGCUAAAUUUGAACAAUAAAUUAAAUUUCUCAGUAUAUGUUAUGUAAUGUAGACACAGGCUAUAAAAAUGUUGACAUUCGUUAUAUUCUCGUAAUGCAAUUUAGCCCUUUUAGUAAUGACUAUGCAAAUAAUCAGCCAUGGGAAAGCCAUUUUCCAUCUAGUACAAUUACCUACUAUCACAGAAGUAAUUAUUAUUAUUGUCCUCCUUAACUGAAAUUCUAUAAAAACUCUUGAGAUACUAAGAUAGUUCCAAGGCCACCGUGAAAACUCUCCUCUUAACAGACUAAUCUGGCAACGACAAUUACCAGCGUUAAGGAGGGCAGUUGCAGAUGAACAUUAAACAAGAAAUUAUCCCCAGAAGGUUCAUAAGUUCUAAACUUUAAAUGGGGAAAUACUGAUGACUCCUAGUACAUCCUCUUAACACCUUCAAGACACAACUUUUCACUCAGGCAAGGUCAACAGCUCUAAGCUGACUCAACCUCAAUUCGUAGAAAACCAUGAUUCCAACCAGAUCACUUUCACCCCUAAACAAUAUCUACUUUUAGCCAAUGUCCCCACAGUACUGGUUACACAUAAGGAAACUCAAUCAAACCUUCUAUUUUACUGUGCUUCAAUUUUCAAUUUCAGAAAUUGUUCCACCAUCUUGAAACAGACCAAGGCGCUUGGGUGAUCCAUUGGCCACAUUUGCCGAAGUUCUUCACAAGAUCUCUAUCCAACUUCACCUUGUCUCUUAGCAUAGAGAUGAGGACGGCCACAGGGUAGUGAAGAGGGCAACAUACACCAUUCUUUCAAGGAGCUCUAAGGUCUCCCACCCACCCCACCUGAACCUGCUGGCCGGCAGUCCAGGCCUGGGCCUCACCAACUCCAGAAUCAUUCACAAGAACAUGGUCACACAGGAGACCUGUGCUCCUUUCUCCAUUCUUCUUCUCUAACGCCAGUCAGCAAACCCACCACCUGAAAAAGCUUCAACUGCCCACGAGGGCCUAGAGGAAAGAGCUUCUUAGGAAUCACCCCCUGCAGUCUGUCGUGGGUGGAUCACCCUACAAUGUCUUAUGCAAAAGGCUAAUUCUACCCCUUCUGGGUGCUUAUCUCAAUGGAGCCCCAAAGCCUUAAGAACCAGAUGGCGUUAACCAAUUUAUG
rnacentral:lncRNA from 1 species